UAGGGGAUAUUGCGCAAUGGGUGAAAGCCUGACGCAGCAACGCCGCGUGGGGGAUGACGGCCUUCGGGUUGUAAACCCCUUUUCUCAGGGAAGAUUAUGACGGUACCUGAGGAAUAAGUCUCGGCUAACUACGUGCCAGCAGCCGCGGUAAGACGUAGGAGGCGAGCGUUAUCCGGAAUUACUGGGCGUAAAGGGCGUGUAGGCGGCUCGUUAAGUCUCUGGUGAAAUCUCCCGGCUUAACUGGGAGGGUAUCAGAGAUACUGGCGGGCUUGAGGGCAGCAGAGGGGAGUGGAAUUCCCGGUGUAGUGGUGAUAUGCGUAGAUAUCGGGAGGAACACCUGUGGCGAAAGCGGCUCUCUGGGCUGUUCCUGACGCUGAGGCGCGAAAGCGUGGGGAGCAAACAGGAUUAGAUACCCUGGUAGUCCACGCCACAAACGAUGGACACUAGGUAUGGGGGGUAUCGACCCCUUCCGUGCCGAAGCUAACGCUUUAAGUGUCCCGCCUGGGGAUUACGGCCGCAAGACUA
rnacentral:rRNA from 1 species